rnacentral:lncRNA from 1 species
UGGGGCACUAGUUAAACAUACUAAAACAGGAAACAAAUGAUAAAAUUAAUGAUGAGAGAGAAUAACUUUUCACAUCAUUAAAACAUUGAAUGCACAAUUUACGAGAUAAAAUUUAUAUAUUUAUAUCCUUAAGACACUGUUUAGCAUUUUCAAAAAAAAAAAAUCAAUUGUCAGCAAACUUUUCCUCUUCUCUCACGUCAAAAACAACAACACUAGACACAAGUGGGACCAAGUGACCAAUCUAUUUCUUCACAAUUUCAUUUUCCUGAAACUGUCAGGAAGCAAAAGCUUCUUCUUCCUCUUCUCACGCCAGCCAUCAUCAUCAACACAAGUUCCUCACUUCACUCAUCCAAAUUAACAUGUAAUCCUGUUUUUAGAUUCACAAUAGUUAUUUGAACAAGGUGAAUGUCUCAUUUCUUCCUCUUAACCCUCCAUGGCCGAAAUGCAUCUUCCAUGACCAAGUCUUGUUUUUUUUUUUUCUAAUUGAAGCUUGAAAGCAUGGAUUUCUGUCAGUUUGAGACCUUUAGAUAUCAUAAAUCAAGGAUUAAGCCUUUGGGUGCAUAGAAAAUAAGGUAUGGUUAGUGAUUCAUACUUUUGUUUCCAAUUUGAGAAUUAACCCUAACACCCAAUCCUCAUCUAUUCCAACUUUUGAUUGUUGCAUGUGAGUUUUAUUGAUUCAAGGAUUGUUGGGUACAAAAAUGAAAGCUUGAAGAUUAGAACGGUAGGAAUUUGUACAAAUCGUAUUUGGGACAGGGUUGUACUAAAACGGUAAGAUCUCCCUCUCUGUACCUCUAAAUUCGGUGGUUCUUAAUGUUCUGGUUAGCUAACGAAAAUAUCUUUAUCUGGGUGCAAAUCUUGUGGAAUUUGGAGCUAUAAUGAAGACAUGAGACGAUUCUGAAGUUGUGGGUUAGAAACUGAUUUUGUGCAGAAUUGGAUACUGCUGAUUGGUAUCUGCUGACCUGCUACUGCUUGUUGGUUUUCCCCCCUCCUUUGAGUUACGUUCAGCCCAUGAUAAGAACAAUAAAACCCUCUUAGUUCCUCUGAUUAGCCUUUUCUCUUAUUGGGUAGAGUCUAAUAGCUUCAUCUAUCCUUAUUAUGUGUUGCUUGUGAGUACUACGGAAGCAAAGUUUUGGGUACUGAUGUUGAAACUGGACAUAAAGGAACCGAAGGAAGUUUAAGAGCUAAAAGGAUGGACUAGAAGAUCGGAUUUGUUGUUGUACAAGAUGAAAUUGGAGAAACUACCGUGCUCAAGCUUUCUCAUCACUUUUGAGGUGGGUUCCUUUAGAAGCUUAACUUUUAGAUUAGUUAGCACCUUUAGUUUUCCCAAAUUCAAUAUAUGUAUGAUAACAUUAGUAUUAGUUAGGAAAUUAGUCUCCCCAAAAUUAUGCAUGACAACAAUAGGAAAAAUUAGGAUAUAAUUGUGUGAGAAGGUUUAAUCCCAAAACCAUCUCCAUUCUUUUUUUUUUUNNNNNNNNNNNNNNNNNNNNNNNUUUUUUUUUUUUGGUUAGUUACAAAAACCAUCUCCAUUCUAAUUAUAUAAUAAUAUUUUAGUUGCUUAUGACUGGACAUGAAUGAGAUUGUAGGUGGAAACUGAUAAACUCUUUUAAAAGUAAAAAGCCGAGAAUUGAACUGGUAUUCUCGCAUAGCGAACAUCUUGUUCGCUAAGCGAGCGUAUCAGAUCAGGACUUUGUAGAAUCAACAUUUUAAAUAAAAAUCCACUUGUUUUAUGUCCCUGACUAUUCUGGAAUAUUUCGUAAGCAGCGUAAUAAUUUUAUGUGAUUAGAAUGUUUAUCACGCUCAGGAACUUAGGUUCAGGAAUCAGGACAGUUAGAAUUACCCCGGGAAGGUUUUCUUUCUUUUGGGUAGGAUAACCAUUCAAGAUUAGGAAUUAUGUUUCAGAAUUUAUCAGGAUGUUUGGUCAUUAUUACCAAUAUCAGGAAGCGUGGUCAUUAGUACCAUGUCAUGGGAUUCAUUCAGAAUCCAAAAUCAUGUAAUAAGAACUGUAAGCUCAUGUUGUAUUCCGACGUACAUUAUUAUCGGUAAUACCAGGCCAGGCACUCCGGGACUGGCUUACCCCGGGGUGAUCCUGUUAUGAUAAAAUUGACAAGAUAAUUAUUAUGUGUGUUACACCUUUAUUGCUUUAUUAUCACAUUAUAAAAACUUCAGGAUUAUGUCAUGAUUAGACUAUUAGAUAUUCAGGUUCAGGUUAAAGUUAGAAACUAUUAGUUUCAGUUGCCCCGGUGUAGUCACCAGUAGUUGGGUAGUAGGAGCUCACUGAGGCUUAGUAGUCUCAUCCCACAACUUCCAAUUUUUUUUAGGUAAACAGGUUAACCGGAGCAAGGACCAGGCAGGAACUGAUGAUCGAGGUUGAGCUUGGAUUAUCGGAUUAGAAGACUAUCGUCUUCUUCUUUGUUUUUAUGUUAAUCUGUUAAGUUAGAAUUUAGUUCUCUUCCGCUAUAUUGUACCAGAUUAUCACGUUAUUCAUGUGAUAUCUUGUAAUUCAAUUAAUU